rnacentral:sRNA from 1 species
GCAAUGGAAAGGGCUAUAUGGUCGGUCGGCUAAUCUCCCGGAAGGGAGGUGAUGCCUUGUGACAGUAUUUGAAUUCUUGAUGCUGAUGCUUACCUUUGGUUUGCUGAUUACAGCAAUACUGUCCAAUAAAGACAAGUAGACCGCCCCUGAGCUAAGGAUGCGGUUUACCAAUGAUUCGUACCUCUGCUUAAAAGCCCACCGCCCUAAAAAGCGGCUAUUGCAUGGAGAGUCGUGUUCGCGCACGGCUC